rnacentral:rRNA from 1 species
AACGAACGCUGGCGGCGUGCCUAACACAUGCAAGUCGAGCGCGAAAGGAGCAAUCCGAGUAGAGCGGCGCACGGGUGCGUAACACGUGGGUAAUCUGCCUCAGGGUUGAGGAUAACUUUCUGAAAGGAAAGCUAAUACUCGGUAAGCUUACGGGGUCUUCGGAUUUUGUGAGAAAACUAGACCUCUAUUUAUAAGUUUAGGCCCAGAGAUGAGCCCGCGGCCCAUCAGCUAGUUGGCGGUGUAACGGACCACCAAGGCGACGACGGGUAGCUGGUCUGAGAGGACGAUCAGCCACACUGGAACUGAGACACGGUCCAGACUCCUACGGGAGGCAGUAGUGGGGAAUUUUCCACAAUGGGCGAAAGCCUGAUGGAGCAACGCCGCGUGUGUGAUGAAGGUCUUCGGAUCGUAAAGCACUUUCGACUGGGACGAAAAACCUUUGGCUAACAUCCAGGGGCCUGACGGUACCAGGAGAAGAAGCACCGGCUAACUCUGUGCCAGCAGCCGCGGUAACAC